AGAGCGAGGGAUGGAGACAGGCAGCUGUGGAUGCUGAAGACAGAAGGCCAAGCAACUCUGGGUUUUGAGAGUCUCUGUAGCCAGAAACACCCCUGAUAGUCAAGCAGCAUGGUCUCUGUUUUGUGCCACCUCCCUCUACCCCUUAAAUAAUCACCUCUUCCUCCUCCCAGCAUUUUUUUUUCAUAAUUAACUUUCUUACCCUAUGGAAAAUCUCACUGGUCCCCUCCUUCCUUAUGUUUGUUUAUUUAUUUAGUUAUUAAACAAAUAUUUAUUGCCAGACAUCAUGCUGGGAUUAAGUGUUGGCAUACAAUGGUGACUCAAAAGCAGAUAGAGUCCCUGCUUUCAUGGAGUUUGUAGCUGAGAGACAGAAAGAGAGAGAAAAAGAGAGAGAGAGAGAGAGAGAGAGAGAGAUAUUAAUCAAAUAACCACCAAACUGUAAAAUUACAAAUUCUCAUAGGUACUGAGGACUAGUGCCAUCUACAAGCACCCAGCUUGUCUCUUCUUUAACAAAACUUUCCUGUUGACUGUCCAUAUUAACAUGACUUGUCAUUCCAAGAAACUCUUGUCCUGGAAGCUGAAGUUGCAAAUAGAUAUAUAGAAAAUCCAUGUAUCCAUAUUGGAGACUUCUCAACUAGCUUUCAUUAGGGUAAAUAACCCUUUCUCAAAGCAACAGGUCCCUUAACUAGGCUUAUCAAAUGACUUUUCAAGACAGCUUCAAGAGCCUUGUCUUGCUGUGUCCACAAAUUUGAAAUAAUUAUGUUACGAACUUUGCCCAAACCCAAUCAGACCUUGUGUUGAAAGAAGUGCCUUAAACCAGUCCCCCUGAAUCUCCUAAAUGUUCCAACUUUGCCUUUCCACUCUGAGAUGCUACUAAGAUUCCAACAAGGUUGUGCUUCUUCUUAUCACUGGAGCAAUGAACUUAAAGUUGGCAGAUGAUGGUGCUGUGAAGAAGUGGACUACAAUUCUAGGAAACCGUAUGACAGAGAGUAGAGACCAAAACUGGAAGUUUCCCUGGAGAAGAAGAAUGCCUGAGCUGAGUUCUAGAUUGCCACUAGACGGAGAAAGUGAAGAGCUGAGUCUUGCCUGUGUUGUACUCCCCGCAUGUGGCACGCAGUAGACUUGCAACUCACAUGUGCAUUUGGGUGCUACCACACAUCUGGAGUGUCAGAGAUUUCAUUCCAGUGCGUCUGACUCCCUGACUCUCAGCAGAGAAGCCAUCCCCUGCUUCA
rnacentral:lncRNA from 1 species